GACAGAGGUGCCAAGCGUUAGGCGGAAUCACUGGGCUUAAAGCGUGUGUAGGCGGGUGCCUAAGUACCUUGUGAAAUCCCACGGCUCAACCGUGGAACUGCUCGGUAUACUGUGUGCCUUGAGCCACUUAGGGGCUACCGGAACAAAUGGUGGAGCGGUGAAAUGCGUAGAUAUCAUUUGGAACGCCAAUGGUGAAAACAGGUAGCUGGGAGUGUGCUGACGCUGAGACACGAAAGCCAGGGGAGCGAACGGG
rnacentral:rRNA from 1 species